ensembl:lncRNA
CUUGGAAUAACCCCCGUGUGCGUAUGAGUGUGUGUGUGCGUGUGUAUGUGUCUCCUGAUUUCACCCUGACACACGCACACAUACACACUCACAACACAGUCAGACGCACACAUUUACUGUCUGUCUGACUGCAGGAGUGGAGCUCUGGCAGCAGAAAUCCGCUCGCAGAGGAUUCCUUCCAAUUUUACGCGCAACUUUUCCUCGCCGGCUUCUUCUCUGCGGCGUUUCCAGCGCUCCCCCCUCGAUUGUUGUGGAUUUCUAACAACCACCCCCUGGCUGUUUGUAGCGGAGCGACGAGCGAAGCUCGCCCGGAAUCGGAUCUGCUGUCACCGGGCUGCUUGUUGUCAUUUUCGCACGGAGACGCGCAGCCGGAGCGCAGACAGAAGGGGCAAUUUGUGGACUUGAUAAACGGACCAGAAAGCAAACGGUUGCACCAGGAUGGCCACAUAAGGACACUUUCUGUCGGGACUCCCAUUGAAACCAGUCUGACAGAGCGCAGACCGAAAGGUAAGCCGUGCCGGCAUCUCAUCCUGAUUUCAUGACGGCCUUUUAGACGUUCCAAGGUUUUUUUUCUGGACAGUGGACUGUGCGGUUUGUGUUGCAUAAUGUGGGC